UCUUGGAGACGUGUCCGCGCAUGCGUCGCUCUCUGCAAGGGAGCCGCGUCGUGACGGUACUGAGCUCACUGCGCCUGCGUGGUGUUUGAGGCCGGCUGUGGACGGUCUGGUGAAGGAGUGAUGCUAGCUCUGGCAGAGACUGUAACCCCACAGACCCUGCGUGGAAUUGCCAGCAGUGUUGGUGUUUUUUUUACGGCACAGAAAGUGGUAUUUUAUUGCACUGAGUCCGUGAUCCUGACCGAGCAUCUGUUUUCUAAGAUAGUAGGAACUGCAGAUGCUGGAGAAUCCGAGACAACAAGGUGCAGGGCUGGAUGAACACAGCAGGCCAAGCAGCAUCAUAGGAGCAGAGGGGCUGACGUUUCGGGCCUAGACCCUUCAUCAGAAAAAGCCUCCCAUUUCCUAUCACUUGCCCCAUAGCUUUGUAUGGAAUUUCCCAUCAACCUGUUUGAAUGUGUCAUGACGCACCUCAGGAGCAGAUUCCUUUCACUGAGUACAGGAAGAUAUGACUGCAAAAUGGCACUUCAUUACUAAUUCAGUUUGUGCUGCUGAUGUGAAGCUGAGUUUAAACCACUUUGUCAGUCAUAAUGAAAGAAGGUUUUGAUUAUCUGCACUUUAUCUGUCUGAAGAUCCUUGCUACUGCUAUAGCAGCAUGAAUAAGAAUGUUCCAUAUCCAAGCAUUGACAAGCACAUCACUGGCUACCAAGUUAUACAUCACAUAAUUUUUAUCUGCCGCAUCUUUUCACCUAUUCCAUUUGAAGAGAUCCUGUGUCUCAAUUUAUUUUGUUUAAGCUUUUGCUUCUAGGAACGUAUGAAAUAGAAUUAGCUUAGUAGACAUUCUCGUUAUUAUUCACAGGCAAGUAAAUUAAUAUAUAUCCUUCUUUAUUCUAAGGGAUUAUUUUCCAAUUAUAGUUUGUCCUUCUGAAAUAUCAUGAAUAUAUGAUUUAAACAGACACAAAAGUGUUCUUUGCUAUGUUCAUAGUAUUCUUUCCUUCAACCACAAAGCUAUUGGCUAAAACUUCACUGCAGAACUUGAGUACAUAAUGAAGGCUCGCCCUUAAUUUAAAUUCAGAUUUCAGUUACUGAGAGUUUUCAGUUAUUUCAAGUUAAGCACCAUCUCCAAUUUCACAACAUGAUCAACAGAUUAACAAUUGCUGUUUUGCGACUGUGAUGAGAUUUUAAAAGGAGAAACCCGAUGUUAGGACUGAAAGGUGUUUGUGAAAUGCAAGGCAGAAGAGAUUCAUAAAGAUAGGGUAGGACAGAGUAAAUGAGGGUAUCUAAAAUAAUCCCAGGAUACAAAGUCAACCUAGUGGGGUAACAGUAAGUCAUUGAAAGUUGGAAAGUGACACGUUUAUCCCAAAUGUAUGCUUUAUUCAUAAAAUUUGUACAGAAUUUGCAAUAAAAUUCAACUUGUCUUCCUGUA